rnacentral:rRNA from 1 species
CCAACGGGAGGCUGCAGUGGGGAAUAUUCCGCAAUGGACGAAAGUCUGACGGAGCGACGCCGCGUGGAUGAAGAAGGCCGCAAGGUUGUAAAAUCCUUUUGCUGGGGAAGAAUAAGCGCAGGAGGGAAUGCCUGCGUGAUGACAUGAACCGGUGAAUAAGCCCCGGCCAACUACGUGCCAGCAGCCGCGGUAACACGUAGGGGGCAAGCGUUGUUCGGAAUUACUGGGCGUAAAGGGCAUGUAGGCGGUUUAGUAAGCUUGGCGUGAAAGACCACGGCUUAACUGUGGGGUUGCGUUGAGAACUGCUGAACUUGAGUUACGGAGAGGGAGCUAGAAUUCCUGGUGUAGGGGUGGAAUCUGUAGAGAUCAGGAAGAAUACCGAUGGCGAAGGCAAGCUUCUGGCCGAUAACUGACGCUGAGGUGCGAAAGUGUGGGGAUCAAACA